rnacentral:rRNA from 1 species
UGGGAAUAUUGCACAAUGGGCGCAAGCCUGAUGCAGCCAUGCCGCGUGUGUGAAGAAGGCCUUCGGGUUGUAAAGCACUUUCAGCGAGGAGGAAGGUGGUGAGCUUAAUACGCUCAUCAAUUGACGUUACUCGCAGAAGAAGCACCGGCUAACUCCGUGCCAGCAGCCGCGGUAAUACGGAGGGUGCAAGCGUUAAUCGGAAUUACUGGGCGUAAAGCGCACGCAGGCGGUUUGUUAAGUCAGAUGUGAAAUCCCCGGGCUCAACCUGGGAACUGCAUUUGAAACUGGCAAGCUAGAGUCUCGUAGAGGGGGGUAGAAUUCCAGGUGUAGCGGUGAAAUGCGUAGAGAUCUGGAGGAAUACCGGUGGCGAAGGCGGCCCCCUGGACGAAGACUGACGCUCAGGUGCGAAAGCGUGGGGAGCAAAACAGGAUUAGAUACCCUGGUAGUCCACGCUGUAAACGAUGUCGAUUUUGGAGGUUGUGCCCUUGAGGCGUGGCUUCCGGAGCUAACGCGUUAAAUCGACCGCCUGGGGAGUACGGCC